rnacentral:rRNA from 1 species
CCCAGACUCCUACGGGAGGCAGCAGUGGGGAAUAUUGCACAAUGGGGGAAACCCUGAUGCAGCGACGCCGCGUGAGCGAAGAAGUAUUUCGGUAUGUAAAGCUCUCUCAGCAGGGAAGAAAAAAAUGACGGUACCUGAGUAAGAAGCCCCGGCUAACUACGUGCCAGCAGCCGCGGUAAUACGUAGGGGGCGAGCGUUGUCCGGAAUUACUGGGUGUAAAGGGAGCGCAGGCGGACUGUCAAGUUGGGAGUGAAAACUACGGGCUCAACCCGUAACUUGCUUUCAAAACUGGCGGUCUUGAGUGGUGUAGAGGUAGGCGGAAUUCCCGGUGUAGCGGUGGAAUGCGUAGAUAUCUGGAGGAACAUCAGUGGCGAAGGCGACUAUCUGGCACAUAACUGACGCUGAGGAGCGAAAGCGUGGGUAGCAAACAGGAUUAGAUACCCGCGUAC